CGCACGGGUGAGUAACGCGUAUGCAACUUACCUAUCAGAGGGGGAUAACCCGGCGAAAGUCGGACUAAUACCGCAUGAAGCAGGGGCCCCGCAUGGGGAUAUUUGCUAAAGAUUCAUCGCUGAUAGAUAGGCAUGCGUUCCAUUAGGCAGUUGGCGGGGUAACGGCCCACCAAACCGACGAUGGAUAGGGGUUCUGAGAGGAAGGUCCCCCACAUUGGUACUGAGACACGGACCAA
rnacentral:rRNA from 1 species